rnacentral:rRNA from 1 species
UACGUAGGGGGCGAGCGUUGUCCGGAUUUAUUGGGCGUAAAGAGCUCGUAGGCGGUUUGUCGCGUCUGCUGUGAAAACUCGGGGCUUAACCCCGGGCCUGCAGUGGGUACGGGCAGACUAGAGUGCGGUAGGGGAGACUGGAAUUCCUGGUGUAGCGGUGAAAUGCGCAGAUAUCAGGAGGAACACCGGUGGCGAAGGCGGGUCUCUGGGCCGUAACUGACGCUGAGGAGCGAAAGCAUGGGGAGCGAACAGG